rnacentral:rRNA from 1 species
AACGCUAGCUACAGGCUUAACACAUGCAAGUCGAGGGGCAGCAUGAUUGAAGCUUGCUUCAAUUGAUGGCGACCGGCGCACGGGUGAGUAACGCGUAUCCAACCUUCCGUACACUCAGGAAUAGCCUUUCGAAAGAAAGAUUAAUACCUGAUGGUAUGAUGAGAUUGCAUGGUAACAUCAUUAAAGAUUUAUCGGUGUACGAUGGGGAUGCGUUCCAUUAGAUAGUAGGCGGGGUAACGGCCCACCUAGUCGACGAUGGAUAGGGGUUCUGAGAGGAAGGUCCCCCACAUUGGAACUGAGACACGGUCCAAACUCCUACGGGAGGCAGCAGUGAGGAAUAUUGGUCAAUGGGCGCGAGCCUGAACCAGCCAAGUAGCGUGAAGGAUGAAGGUCCUACGGAUUGUAAACUUCUUUUAUAAGGGAAUAAAGUCACCUACGUGUAGGUGUUUGUAUGUACCUUAUGAAUAAGCAUCGGCUAACUCCGUGCCAGCAGCCGCGGUAAUACGGAGGACGCGAGCGUUAUCCGGAUUUAUUGGGUUUAAAGGGAGCGUAGACGGGUCGUUAAGUCAGCUGUGAAAGUUUGAGGCUCAACCUUAAAAUUGCAGUUGAUACUGGCGUCCUUGAGUACGGUUGAGGCAGGCGGAAUUCGUGGUGUAGCGGUGAAAUGCAUAGAUAUCACGAAGAACUCCGAUUG